AUUGAACGCUGGCGGCAGGCCUAACACAUGCAAGUCGAGCGAGCGGCGGACGGGGGGGUAAUGUAUGGGGACUGCCCGAUAGAGGGGGAUAACUACUGGAAAAGGUAGCUAAUACCGCAUACUAUCGGAUAACCCAUAUGGGAUUAGCUAGAAGGUGUGGGAAUGGCUCACCUAGGCGACGAGCCCUAGCUGGUCUGAGAGGAUGAUCAGCCACACUGGACCUGAGACACGGCCCAGACUCCUACGGAGGCAGCAGUGGGGAAUAUUGCACAAUGGGCGCAAGCCUGAUGCAGCCAUGCCGCGUGUAUGAAGAAGGCCCUAGGGUUGUAAAGUACUUUCAGUCGGGAGGCGUUACCGACAGAAGAAGCACCGGCUAACUCCGUGCCAGCAGCCGCGGUAAUUC
rnacentral:rRNA from 1 species